rnacentral:rRNA from 1 species
GACGAACGCUGGCGGCGUGCCUAAUACAUGCAAGUCGCACGCAGUGGGGCCGGGUGAGUAACACGUGGGUAACCUCCCAUCAGAGGGGAUCACCCUUGGAAACAGGUGCUAAACAGAUACUAAUGGAUGGACCCGCGGUGCAUUAGCUAGUUGGUGAGGUAACGGCUCACCAAGGCCACGAUGCAUAGCGGACUGUGGAGUGGGUAUGGCGCGACUGGGACUGAGACACGGCUCAGACUCCUACGCGAGGCAGCAUGAGGGAAACUUCGGCAAAGGACGAAAGUCUGACCGAGCAACGCCGCGUGAGUGAAGAAGGUUAUCGGAUAGUAAAACUCUGUGGUUAGAGAAGCGGUAUCUAACCAGAAAGCCACGGCUAACUACGUGCCAGCAGCCGCGGUAAUUC